rnacentral:rRNA from 1 species
AUGAACGCUGGCGGCGUGCCUAUUACAUGCAAGUCGAGCGAACGGACGAGAAGCUUGCUUCUCUGAUGUUAGCGGCGGACGGGUGAGUAACACGUGGAUAACCUACCUAUAAGACUGGGAUAACUUCGGGAAACCGGAGCUAAUACCGGAUAAUAUUUUGAACCGCAUGGUUCAAAAGUGAAAGACGGUCUUGCUGUCACUUAUAGAUGGAUCCGCGCUGCAUUAGCUAGUUGGUAAGGUAACGGCUUACCAAGGCAACGAUGCAUAGCCGACCUGAGAGGGUGAUCGGCCACACUGGAACUGAGACACGGUCCAGACUCCUACGGGAGGCAGCAGUAGGGAAUCUUCCGCAAUGGGCGAAAGCCUGACGGAGCAACGCCGCGUGAGUGAUGAAGGUCUUCGGAUCGUAAAACUCUGUUAUUAGGGAAGAACAUAUGUGUAAGUAACUGUGCACAUCUUGACGGUACCUAAUCAGAAAGCCACGGCUAACUACGUG